rnacentral:rRNA from 1 species
CAGUAAACGGCGGCCGUAACUAUAACGGUCCUAAGGUAGCGAAAUUCCUUGUCGGUUAAAUACCGACCUGCAUGAAUGGCGUAACGAGAUGGGAGCUGUCUCAAAGAGGGAUCCAGUGAAAUUGUAGUGGAGGUGAAAAUUCCUCCUACCCGCGGCAAGACGGAGAGACCCCGUGGACCUUUACUAUAGCUUGACACUGCUACUUGGAUAAAGAUGCGCAGGAUAGGUGGGAGGCUUCGAUUCGUAGAUCUCGGUUUACGAUGAGCCAUUGUUGAGAUACCACUCUUCUUUAUUCGGGUAGCUAACUAGCCUAAGUUAUCCUUAGGUAGGACAAUGUCUGGUGGGUAGUUUGACUGGGGCGGUCGCCUCCCAAAAUGUAACGGAGGCUUACAAAGGUUGGCUCAGAACGGUUGGAAAUCGUUCGCAGAGUAUAAAGGCAAAAGCCAGCUUAACUGCGAGACAUACACGUCGAGCAGAGACGAAAGUCGGUCUUAGUGAUCCGGUGGUUCUGUGUGGAAGGGCCAUCGCUCAAAGGAUAAAAGGUACCCCGGGGAUAACAGGCUGAUCUCCCCCAAGAGCUCACAUCGACGGGGAGGUUUGGCACCUCGAUGUCGGCUCAUCGCAUCCUGGGGCUGUAGUCGGUCCCAAGGGUUGGGCUGUUCGCCCAUUAAAGCGGUACGCGAGCUGGGUUCAGAACGUCGUGAGACAGUUCGGUCCCUAUCUGCCGUGGGCGUAAGAAGAUUGAGGAGAGUUGACCCUAGUACGAGAGGACCGGGUUGAACCGACCACUGGUGUACCGGUUGUUCUGCCAAGAGCACCGCCGGGUAGCUAAGUCGGGAUGCGAUAAGAGCUGAAAGCAUCUAAGCUCGAAGCCGACUCCAAGAUGAAUCUUCUUUUAAGAGCUCUAGUAGACUACUAGUUUGAUAGGCCGGAUGUGUAAUGGAUGAAAGUCCUUUAGCUGACCAGUACUAAUAGCUCGUCUGCUUAUCUUU